CGUAGGGGCAAGCGUUAUCCGGAUUUACUGGGGUGUAAAGGGAGCGUAGACGGAUUAGCAAGUCUGAUGUGAAAGGCAGGGGCUCAACCCCUGGACUGCAUUGGAAACUGCCAGUCUUGAGUGCCGGAGAGGUAAGCGGAAUUCCUAGUGUAGCGGUGAAAUGCGUAGAUAUUAGGAGGAACACCAGUGGCGAAGGCGGCUUACUGGACGGCAACUGACGUUGAGGCUCGAAAGCGUGGGGAGCAAACAGGAUU
rnacentral:rRNA from 1 species